CGGGGCCGUAGCUCAAUUGGCUAGAGCAUCGGACUGUCGAUCCGAAGGUUGUGAGUUCGAGUCUCAUCGGCCUCGU
rnacentral:tRNA from 1 species